rnacentral:rRNA from 1 species
UCGAGAAUUUUUCUCAAUGGGGGAAACCCUGAAGGAGCGACGCCGCGUGGAGGAUGAAGGUCUUCGGAUUGUAAACUCCUGUCAUUUGGGAACAAUUGUCACCGGUUAACUGCCGGGGGCUUGAUAGUACCAGAAGAGGAAGAGACGGCUAACUCUGUGCCAGCAGCCGCGGUAAUACAGAGGUCUCAAGCGUUGUUCGGAUUCAUUGGGCGUAAAGGGUGCGUAGGUGGCGGGGUAAGUCAGGUGUGAAAUCUCGGAGCUCAACUCCGAAACUGCACUUGAUACUGCCUUGCUCGAGUACUGGAGAGGAGAUUGGAAUUUACGGUGUAGCAGUGAAAUGCGUAGAUAUCGUAAGGAAGACCAGUGGCGAAGGCGAAUCUCUGGACAGUUACUGACACUGAGGCACGAAGGCCAGGGGAGCAAACAGGAUUAGAUACCCUGGUAGUCCUGGCAGUAAACGGUGCGCGUUUGGUGUGGGAGGAUUCGACCCCUUCU